CAAUUACUUUGAUAAGUCUCGUAUACACCAUUGAAAAGAGUCGAUUUUUUAUAAUAGAAGAAAAUAUUGAACAUUUUUUUAUACCAUAUAACUUUCGUGACGAUGAAAUUGAAAUAUUUGUUCGUUUUAUUAUCCAUGUGUCUCGUAGUGAGAUCAGCCCGUAUCAAUUCUGAUUUGGAUGAACAGCUUUUAAAUGCCGCUAAAGAAGGCCACAUCGAAGCAGCGACAUAUCUACGCAAACAUGGAGCACAUGCGUUUAAAUGAUCUAUUAUCUCUCAUUGUCACUAAAGAAAAAGCACCUAGGGUUAAUCACAAAGAAAAGAAUGGAAAUAAAGGAAAUUAAUCAAUAUGUAAUGCAACGUAA